UACGAAGGGGGCUAGCGUUGCUCGGAAUCACUGGGCGUAAAGCGCACGUAGGCGGUUUUCCAAGUUGGAGGUGAAAUCCCUGGGCUUAACCCAGGAACUGCCCCCAAAACUGGAUGACUCGAGUCCGAGAGAGGUGAGUGGAACUGCGAGUGUAGAGGUGAAAUUCGUAGAUAUUCGCAAGAACACCAGUGGCGAAGGCGGCUCACUGGCCCGGUACUGACGCUGAGGUGCGAAAGCGUGGGGAGCAAACAGG
rnacentral:rRNA from 1 species